UCAACCUAGUUGUGCGUGUGUAAAGGUAGUGCCAAGAAAAGCGAUGAUCAUGUUGAAAAUCAAUUCCCGGUACCCGAAACCGACACAGGUGGGCAAGUAGAGAAUACUAAGGGGCGCGAGGUAACUCUCUCCAAGGAACUCGGCAAAAUGACCCCGUAACUUAGGGAGAAGGGGUGCCACCGAGAGGUGGUCGCAGUGAAGUGGCCCAGGCGACUGUUUAGCAAAAACAUAGGUCUCUGCAAACUCGAAAGAGGAGGUAUAGGGGCUGACGCCUGCCCAGUGCCGGAAGGUUAAAGAAGUUGGUCAGUUUUAGGAUGAAGCUAGCGACUGAAGCCCCGGUGAACGGCGGCCGUAACUAUAACGGUCCUAAGGUAGCGAAAUUCCUUGUCGGGUAAGUUCCGACCCGCACGAAAGGCGUAACGAUCUGGGCGCUGUCUCGGAGAGAGGCUCGGCGAAAUAGGAUUGUCUGUGAAGAUACGGACUACCUGCAUUUGGACAGAAAGACCCUAUGAAGCUUUACUAUAGCUUGGAAUUGUGUACGGGCUUCCUGUGCGCAGGAUAGGUGGGAGGCGUAGAAGGUAUUCUUGUGGGGAUACUGGAGCCAACGGUGAGAUACCACUCUCAGGAGGCUAGAAUUCUAACUUAAUUAAGGACAGUUUCAGGUGGGUAGUUUGACUGGGGCGGUCGCCUCCAAAAAGGUAACGGAGGCGUACAAAGGUUCCCUCAGACUGGUUGGAAAUCAGUCGAAGAGUGCAAAGGCAGAAGGGAGCUUGACUGCGAGAAGUACAGUUCGAGCAGGGUGGAAACACGGUCUUAGUGAUCCGACGGUGCUGUGUGGAAGGGCCGUCGCUCAACGGAUAAAAGUUACUCUAGGAUAACAGGCUGAUCUCCCCCAAGAGUUCACAUCGACGGGGAGGUUUGGCACCUCGAUGUCGGCUCAUCGCAACCUGGGGCGGAAGUACGUCCCAAGGGUUGGGCUGUUCGCCCAUUAAAGCGGUACGUGAGCUGGGUUCAGAACGUCGUGAGACAGUUCGGUCCAUAUCCGAUGUAGGCGUGAGAAUAUUGAGAGGAGCCUUCCUUAGUACGAGAGGACCGGGAAGGACGCACCGCUGGUGUACCUGUUAUGAUGCCAAUUGUAAACGCAGGGUAGCCAAGUGCGGAGAGGAUAACCGCUGAAAGCAUCUAAGUGGGAAGCCCACCUCAAGAUGAGUAUUCUGGUGUAAGGUCACGGGAAGACGACCCGUAAAUAGGCACGAGGUGGAAGUGCAGAGAUGUAUGAAGCCGAAGUGUACUAAUAGACCGUCGGCUUGACC
rnacentral:rRNA from 1 species